GCUUACAGACAUACCAUCCUGAAUGCACGCUGUUCCUUCUGAUCUUGGAACCUGAACGGAAUUGGACCUGGUUAGUACUUUGAUGGGAGAUCAGUUGGGAAUACCAAGUUCUGUAGGCU
rnacentral:rRNA from 1 species